CACAUUUGCAUGAGCACGCACUCGGACUCCAUGUCUCUUCUGGGCUACCCUGGGCUUUGCAAUGCCACAUCCCACAGGACUCAUUGUUACAUCCCAGUGACUUCUGUUGCUCUUUGCUCCAGUGAUGUAAACUCUACCUUUGGACACUGUUUACCCAGUAGCUACCAAGGCAAUCUCUGGCUCCUGGACCACUGCCAAGAAUCCUACUGUGAAGUGCCAAGCUGUGAGUCUCCCAGCUGUGAGCCCAAGACCUGUACCACAGAUUGUGACUCCACAAACUCCUGUGUGCCCUCCAACUCCCCAUCCACAGGCCAAGUCAUCAGUGCCUGUGAAACUACCAACAUCAAAUCUGGCCCCAGCUGCAGCCCAUGUACUUGGACCAAGGGGUAUGUAUCCAAUUGCUACAGGCCUGCUCGAUAUCCUUCCAGAGCUUGCCACACACUCCUCAAUGGCUCCAACUGCUUUGGGCUACUCAACUGUUUACCUAAGAAUUUUCGUCCUUUAAACAGCUACAGCCAGCUGGGUAGUUUGAAGUAUAGAAGCUACCAAGAUCCUGGUUUCAUCUCCAGGGGCUUCUCACCAUCAUGUUAUAUUACCAGCAGCUACCAACCCCUAAGUUAUUUAAUGAGAAAUUGCCAGUAUCCAAAUUAUGGGUCUAUGAGUUACCAACCACUGAGCUAUUUAUCUAGAAACUUCCGAUCUCUGAGCUGUAUACCCAGUACCUUUCCACCUCUGAGGUAUUUAUGCAGUGGCAGCAGACCUUUGAAUUGCUAUUGACCAACUUAAAGCAUUUAAAUGAGCUAGAAUUUGCCCAAUAGGGCAGAUUCUACUAAGUUGUAGGAUCUCUGAAAUGUAGAAUCCUUAGUAUUCUGCUGAAUCACUUUAUAUAUCUCAAGAAGUUUGUCACUUUAACUUUAAAUGGAAUAGAACCACAGCCAUUACUAUAGGUAGAUUUUUUUUCUGUUGCUUUGUUAAUCCUCUUUGUGUUAAAAGCUUAUUCUCUAGAUAUAGUUAUCUAAGACAUACCAUAUGGACUUACUGAAGAGAGUUCACAUGAAAUAUAACCAUCAAUCACCAGCUUUCUUACUUUGGUUCCAAGUACCACAUACCUGCCAGUGCGACUAUCACCAAACUUUUCUUCAUUAAGUGGGGCUUCCUUGGUUUGAUGGUUGAUUUCAGAGCACAAGUUCUUUCAGAUGGUUUUGCUUUUCCUCAACAGUUUCAUCUACUGCUUAACAAGCAUCUUGCUUGUGUACUGAGAGAGAGCAUUAACUUAAAUGUAUUGAGUGGGACCAUAACUUCCUUUCCCUACUAACUGCUUAUAAAGAUGAGCAAAUAACAGUGGCCAACUUGAGCUCAAAUACAGAAGAAUUCAAGAAAUCUUCUCCAAAGAAGCCAUCAAACACAGGAUUGACUGGAACUUGGAUUUUUUCGUCAAUGCCUGGGAGAAAGCCUCAGAAGUGAUUGAAGCACAAAAGUUAUUUGAUAAAACAAUGACAAAACACUGUUGUAGAUUCUUUAAAGUUAGUGUUGUUCUGUGUG
rnacentral:lncRNA from 1 species